UUGGGAGGAAUAAAACGAAAGACGGACACGGUGUUUCGGCAAAGUUUUGCCGCUGGGACCUCAGAUGAGUAUGUGCAGGAGAAUUUAGGACAGCGUACCAAAAAUUGCCUUCGACCUUAUACGAUGGAUGAUAAUGACGUCAAAGGGGCAUGACGGCGGUUAAACCUAUUGCGAAUGGGCAGCAUUUUCCGUCCCAGGAUUUACAUCAGGCAUGUGUCGGGGAUCAGGCAGAAUUGGGUGUAGGAUAUUCUGAAACCACGCACAUAUUUUUCUUUCCGGCCAUGUUGCCAGUGCCACAAAGGACAGAAUUGAAGUUGGUUCCAGCUUAAAUAUGAACUAGAAUUAUCAGAGGCUGUCCAAGAGAGCCCCCGCACCCUACAGUAAAAGGAUGAUGCAGCUUGGAUGACCUGGAAAAAAUUUCCACUGACCAGGUGCCAACAUAAACAUGAUAGAGGGCACUGAUAAUUAGAUGCCCAAUUUGCCUCCUUGGCAGGUCCAAGCAUGUUUGUUGUUUCGUGAGAAAUUCACCAUGCUGUAAAGCAUGCAUUUUGAAAUAAUUCUUUUUGCCUGUGAUCUGCGCCUGUGCGAGACAAUGAUGCAGAUCAUAGAACUCUGUGAGACGGUGACUGCUGGUUAGGAAGAAGACUCGUCCAUGCAUGUUUAAUAAAAUUCAGAAGAAAUAUGGCUGCAGUCAAGACGUCCUUGAGUGAAAAGCUUGAGGUGUUACAAAUUCAGGCAUUCUAAUAGUUUGAGUUAUUUAUAAGCCUGCAAUGUUUCAAGGAAGAUGAGAUGGAGAGAUACAACAUACAUGGAGAAACACGUUUCCGUUACAUAAAUGUCUGUGUGUGUAUCCUGAAGAGGGAUUCAGUUGACUUUGGAAGGAGCACACUUUUCGGCUCCUUCAUCUGAUGGCACAGUUUUGAAAAGAGAAAAGCGACCGCACCAUUGUCCUCCUGUAAUCAAGCCAAGGUCCGUCCACAUGCACCUCAAUGGGAAAACCACUGGUAAUUGAAGCUGGUUGAGCGCCAUGACAUCUCUCGUAAACAAGCAACGUUAUGGACAAGGAUCACGUGGACCAAGUUCAAAUGUCUUGAACACGAUAGGCCCCCUUCCAUGCUGACUGGAAAAGACAUCUAUCAUCUAUGCUUUGGUUCACCAGUUGCAUCCUCAGAUUAUUCAGGACAUGCAAGACAUUGUGAACAUGGAGAAUAUCAAGAAGAACCAAGUGGUGCCGAAAAUACCUGAAGAUUUACUUUUUCAGCAAAGAAUGACUUUGUAGGCCUAAAGGUUUAGAAGUUAUACCUAAAUUUCUCAGGACUAUGGCUUACUCCUAUUAGGUAGCCUGGAAAACAUUGCAUCCUGGAUGCAGAGAAAGACUGUAGUUUAGAUUACUUGUCAGUUAGUUUUAGUGGUAGUUUUCACUGUUGAAGGAUAUAUACACAGAUUUAUAAUUUAUUAUAUCCGCACUUUCGGAGAAAGUUCAAAUAUAUUGUUUUCAUCAAGUUUGUCCGUCCGUCCAACUUGGCUCUUUCUUUGGAGCAGUACAGUUGUAAGAUAAAUCCUGUUUGUAAUUUUAUAAAUUAGUUGCUCAUUAAGGGCUUACAAAGAUUAUGAUGCCUUGCUGGCAUAUCUGCAUACCAGUAAAUAUGUGCAGAUUCAUUUCUUGCUUUGAAGCAAUAUUGUUGCUACACUCCUAAAGCGGUGGCAAUGUUUAGGUCUUUUCUGCCUCGCGGGCAAAUCUGCAUACCAGUAAUUAUGUGCAGACUUGGCUCUUCCUGAGAUUGUAGGACUGGGUCCAUUGAAUGUAAACAAAAAUAAUCGAUGCCUAUUUACAAAUGAAAUGAAGAGUCUGCAUUUUGGUGCAACUCCAUAUAACUGUCAGGUGAUUUCGCUCUGAACUUGUGACACUCUGAUCGGUCUGAAAUAAUCAUCAUCCCGCCCCUCUGGGAAAAAUUUGCAGCCAGAUUGCACCAUUUCCUGUUACUGUCUGAGAGAUGGCAAUGUCAGGGGUGCAUGACGGUGGUAUAAACCUAUUGCGAAUGGGCAGCACAAUUGGGUGUAGGAUAUUCAGAAACCAUUGCACACUCCUGAAUAUGCGGUGGGUUGGUACCCCACGCUACGUAAGGAGUAGGUUGACGGGUAAGACUUUGUCCACGUGAAUGGGUCGUGCC